rnacentral:rRNA from 1 species
UGGCUCAGAACGAACGCUGGCGGCGCGCUUAACACAUGCAAGUCGAGCGAGAACCAGGCCUUCGGGCCUGGGGACAGCGGCGAACGGGUGAGUAACACGUGGGUAAUCAACCCUCGACACUGGGAUAGCCCGGGGAAACCCGGAUUAAUACCGGAUGGCCCUUUGGAUCCUCGGAUCUGACGGGAAAGGUAGCUUCGGCCUCCGGUCGAGGACGAGCCCGCGGCGGAUUAGCUUGUUGGUGAGGUAACGGCCCACCAAGGCGACGGUCAAAAGCUGGUCUGAGAGGACGAUCAGCCACACUGGGACUGUUUCCCGGCCCAGACGACUACGGGAGGC